rnacentral:rRNA from 1 species
GACGAACGCUGGCGGCGUGCUUAACACAUGCAAGUCGAACGGUGAAGCGCCUUCCUUUUUGGUGGGUGUGGAUGAGUGGCGAACGGGUGAGUAACACGUGAGUAACCUGCCCCCUUCUUCUGGAUAACCGCAUGAAAGUGUGGCUAAUACGGGAUAUUCUGGGUCUGUCGCAUGAUGGGUCUGGGAAAGAUAUUGUUUCGGUGGGGGAUGGGCUCGCGGCCUAUCAGCUUGUUGGUGGGGUGAUGGCCUACCAAGGCGGUGACGGGUAGCCGGCCUGAGAGGGUGGACGGGCACACUGGGACGGAGACACGGACCAGACUCCUGCGGGAGGCAGCAGUGGGGAAUAUUGCACAAGGGGCGCAAGCCUGAUGCAGCGACGCCGCGUGAGGGAUGGAGGCCUUCGGGUUGUGAACCGCUUUCGCCAGUGAAGCAGGCUUGCCUCGUUUGUGGGUGGGUUGACGGUAGCUGGAUAAGAAGCGCCGGCUAACUACGUG